UACGUAGGGUACGAGCGUUGUCCGGAAUUAUUGGGCGUAAAGAGCUCGUAAGUGGUUGGUCACGUCUGCUGUGGAAACGCAACGCUUAACGUUGCGCGGGCAGUGGGUACGGGCUGACUAGAGUGCAGUAGGGGAGUCUGGAAUUCCUGGUGUAGCGGUGAAAUGCGCAGAUAUCAGGAGGAACACCGGUGGCGAAGGCGGGACUCUGGGCUGUGACUGACACUGAGGAGCGAAAGCAUGGGGAGCGAACAGGAUUAGAUA
rnacentral:rRNA from 1 species